CCAGAGAUUCUGUGCACUAGUGCGCACCCGAACAUUGAAAAACUAUGCUGCUGCGGCAUCGGAGUGCAACAGUCCGUACCUAGUACGCAGUUGUGCGCUGGGUGCAGCUGGCUGGCGUAGUUUAGCUGUAAGACAGCUGUAGGCUGCGUUUAUGAUAGAUAGCUGCUGUGUCUGCAAAUUGGUUUAUUCCUUUUUGCGGUGAGUAUGUUAUCGUCAGUAAGCGGCCUGCCAUCAAUGUUAAGCAUUAGUUAUUUGACCCGUCUUGAAACACGGACCAAGGAGU
rnacentral:rRNA from 1 species